UAAUGGCAGGUCAGCAUACUGCCGUGAAUACGUUCCCGGGCCCUUGUACACACCGCCCGUCAUACCAUGAGAGUUGGGAAUACCCGAAGCCUGUGAGCUAACGUAAGAGGCAGCAGUCGAAGGUAGAAUCAAUGAUUGGGGUGAAGUCGUAACAAGGUACC
rnacentral:rRNA from 1 species